rnacentral:misc_RNA from 1 species
AAGUCGUAACAAGGUUUCCGUAGGUGAACCUGCGGAAGGAUCAUUAACACGUAUCCAACGUUAAACAACCCUGUGAACUUUAAGCCUACUCUUGCAGCCCAUGAGGAACAGCAAUCCCGGUAAAUCAUUGCCAAACAGUUUUGAUUCGGGACCUCUGUCCAAAAGGAGUUGCAAUUGAGUGGUAGAUGCAGUGGCAUGGCUUCCCCUGUGUAAGGAUAACGCCUCACGGUUGCCAGAGGUCGAUCACCGACCGGCAGACAUGUCACAGGGCCACCGCGCCCCUUAAUCACUCCACUAGAAAAUGCCCCGCCUAGUGGUAACGCGCUAGGUAAAAAAAACCGAACAACUGUUAACAAUGGAUAUCUUGGUUCUC